AUGUUCAUCAAUUGUUGAUUGUUUUCAACCAAUCACAAAGCUAUCGGAACACUAUACCUGCUGUUCGGCGCAUGAGUGGGGAUAGUGGGUACCUCCUUAAGCCUUCUAAUUUGAGCAGAAUUAGGUCAACCAGGAACUCUGCUAGGAGAUGACCAGAUCUAUAAUGUUAUUGUUACCGCCCACGAAUUUGUCAUAAUCUUCUUUAUGGUCAUAUCAAUUAUAAUUGGGGGUUUCGGCAACUAACUAGUCCCUCUGAUAAUUGCUGCCCCUGAUAUGGCAUUUCCACGGAUAAAUAAUAAUGAGCUUUUUACUUCUCCCCCACUCUUUCCUACUCCUACUUGCAUCCUCAAUAGAAGCCGGUGCUGGAACUGGCUGAACAGUUUAUCCCCCUUUAGCUGAAAACCUAACACAUGCAGGAUCCUUUGUGGGUCUUACCAUCUUCUCACUUCACUUGGCAGGUAUUCUAUUUUAGGAGCCAUUAACUUUAUUACUACAAUUAUUAACAAAAAGCCCCCAGCCAUAUCCCAAUAUCAAACACCCCUUUUCGUCCAACCAUUCCUCAUUACAGCAAUCCUACUCCUUUCUCUCUCAGUCCUAGCCGCUGGCAUUACCACAAUAUUAACUGACCGUAACCUCAACACUACUUUUUGACCCUGCUGGUGGGGGUGAUCCUAUCUUAUAUCAACAUUUAUUCUGAUUCUUUGGUCACCCUGAAGUUUAUAUCCUUAUUCUAUCAGGCUUUGGGAUGAUCUCCCAUGUCGUGACGUAUUACUCUGGAAAAAAGGAGCCAUUUGGGUAUAUGGGCAUAGUAUGAGCCAUAAUAUCUAUUGGCUUCUUAGGGUUUAUUGUAUGAGCACACCAUAUAUUUACAGUAGGAACAGACAUAGACACAGACACAUGAGCAUACUUCACCUCCGCUACCAUAAUUACUGCUAUGCCUACUGGCAUCAAGGUCUUUAGCUGAUUAGCUACACUGCGUGGUGGUAACAUCAAAUGAUCUCCCGCAAUGUUCUGAGCCCUAGGAUUCAUCUUUCUUUUCACAGUAGGAGGUCUAAUUGGCAUUGUACUAGCUAAUUCAUCACUAGAUAUUAUUUUACAUGAUACAUACUAUGUUGUAGCUCAUUUCCACUACGUCCUAUCACCAGGAGCGGUGUUCGCCAUCAUAGGAGGCUUUACCACUGGUUCCCCCAUUCUCAGGUUAUAUGCUUAAUCAGACCUACGCUAAAAUUCACUUCACCAUUAUAUUCAUAGGUGUUAAUUUAACCUUUUUCCCACAGCACUUCCUUGGCCUAUCCGGUAUGCCGCAACGUUAUUCCGAUUAUCCUGAUGCAUACACCGCAUGAAAUAUUAUCUCAUCCUUAGGCUCAUUUAUCUCAUUAGCAGCAGUUAUGCUAACAAUUUUUAUAAUCUGAGAAGCCUUUGUUUCGAAAAGAAAAACUAUAACAAUUGAACAACCAUCUAGUAAUUUAGAGUGACUUUAUGGCUGUCCACCACCUUACCACACAUUUGAAGAGCCAACCUACAUUAA
rnacentral:lncRNA from 1 species